rnacentral:rRNA from 1 species
UACGGAGGGUGCAAGCGUUAAUCGGAAUUACUGGGCGUAAAGCGUGCGCAGGCGGUUUGUUAAGUCCGUUGUGAAAGCCCCGAGCUCAACUUGGGAAUUGCAGUGGAUACUGGCAGGCUGGAGUACGGUAGAGGAAGGUGGAAUUCCCGGUGUAGCAGUGAAAUGCGUAGAUAUCGGGAGGAACACCAGUGGCGAAAGGCGACCUUCUGGACCAGUACUGACGCUCAUGCACGAAAAGCGUGGGGGAGCAAACAGG